GACGUAGGGGGCCAGCGUUGUUCGGAAUUACUGGGUGUAAAGGGUUCGUAGGCGGUGGGGCAAGUCGGGAGUGAAAUCUCUGGGCUCAACCCAGAGACUGCUUCCGAAACUGCUGUGCUUGAGUGUGAGAGAGGCUCGUGGAAUUGCAGGUGUAGCGGUGAAAUGCGUAGAUAUCUGCAGGAACACCCGUGGCGAAAGCGGCGAGCUGGAUCACUACUGACGCUGAGGAACGAAAGCUAGGGGAGCAAACAGG
rnacentral:rRNA from 1 species